rnacentral:rRNA from 1 species
GUGUCAGCCGCCGCGGUAAUACAGAGGUGGCAAGCGUUGUUCGGAAUUACUGGGCGUAAAGGGCGCGUAGGCGGCUCUCUAAGUCCCGUGUGAAAGCCCUCGGCUUAACCGAGGAACUGCACGAGAAACUGGAGAGCUUGAGUUCGGGAGAGGGAAGCGGAAUUCCGGGUGUAGCGGUGAAAUGCGUAGAUAUCCGGAGGAACACCGGUGGCGAAGGCGGCUUCCUGGACCGACACUGACGCUGAGGCGCGAAAGCUAGGGGAGCAAACGGGAUUAGAAACCCCUGUAGUCC